CUCCUAUCAAUCCAGACAAGAUCUCUGAAGACAUAUUUCCAAAUUUAUAGACAAGCUGUCAGGAAGUUUGCUUUGAAUUUUAGGUUAACCUAGGGUUAAGCUAACCCAGCUUUGAACAACCGGCCCCAGUUGUUUUAAAAUGGUGAAUAUAAUUUUGAAAAUGCAGCGUUAAUUUCAUAGAUAUAGGAGACCUAGAUUGCUAAUGAAAGUUAUGAAGAACUAUUUAUUGUGAAGGUUUUGGAUGCUAUAACUAAACAAGUUGCGGUGAAACAAUAUACAAGUAUCGGCUGCUGAAGUGGAGGUGGAGUCCAUAUAAAAUAUACACCGGAUAUCCGCGUCGUGAACUUGGCGUAUAGGCGUAAACGUCACUCUUUGUCUCUG